rnacentral:rRNA from 1 species
GAGGAAGUAAAAGUCGUAACAAGGUUUCCGUAGGUGAACCUGCGGAAGGAUCAUUAUCGAAUUUUGAAUYGAGUUGUAGCUGGCCUUUCGGCAUGUGCACGCUCGAGUCAUUCAUUCACAACCACUGUGCACUUUUUGGUAGGGUCGAUGACUCUGCUGUUUUAUUACAAACGCUUCAGUUACAGAAUGUUUAUUGUGCGCAACGCAUUUAUAUACAACUUUCAGCAACGGAUCUCUUGGCUCUCGCAUCGAUGAAGAACGCAGCGAAAUGCGAUAAGUAAUGUGAAUUGCAGAAUUCAGUGAAUCAUCAAAUCUUUGAACGCACCUUGCGCUCUUUGGUAUUCCAAAGAGCAUGCCUGUUUGAGUGUCAUGAAAUUCUCAAGUCUGUAGAUUUUUUAAUCUGCAUGACCUGGACUUGGAGGUUGUGUCGGCUUCAUCCGUCGACUCCUCUGAAAUGCAUUAGCGCGAACGUUUACAAAUUCAGUGUGAUAAUUAUCUGCGCUGUCGUUGUUAACUGUCUCCUGCUUUACCGUCUUUUAAAGACAAUUUUUGACAUCUGACCUCAAAUCAGGUAGGACUACCCGCUGAACUUAAGCAUAU